AUGGUUCUUGACAACAUUCUGUCUUCAUCUUCUCCACGUUUAAAGUCUCCAUCUAUCCGGAGACCUAAGGAUGGACUUGGUAGCUGGUCAACACUUUUCCAAAGGCACCGCUUCCUCUUAUCUGCUCUCGUGCUCCUUACUAUUCUAUGUACUGUUUAUCUUUACUUCGCCAUCACCAUAGGAAGUGGCUCCUGUUCUGGAUUGAGUGGAGCACAGAAAGCUUCAUGCCAUAUGGAGCUUGUCAAGGAUUCUAUUUCCAACGGCAAACUGAAAUUUCUUUAA
rnacentral:lncRNA from 1 species